UAUAUUACUUAGCAAAUUGUCUCACAUCCCAAAAAGUUACUUUAUUUCCGUAUAUUACUAUCCAACAGUCUGGAUCGAACGACAGGACUACAUCUCUGCAUUGGGGUGAUUUACUUGAAUCUGAGUAACUCAAAAACAUCAUGCAUGACAGGACUGUUAUGCCCCUUCAGCUGAACCAUGGUCAUCAGAUUUCAUCAUCACUGGGUUAAACCCUAACACCCUAACUAAUCACCAUGAGUUGGCGACCAGAGGCCCUCGGGACCCAGCCUGUACUGUCAGUCCUGUGGCCCAGUUCUCAAUGCAUCACCUCUGGGUUGAGGAUGAAGAUACAGAGCUAUGGUUGACCUCGUCAUCACCAGAGCGCAGGAAUCCUUUGGGAGGUCUUGUAUGUGAUCGUUCCAUUCGAGAAGUGCUGUAUCCAUAUCGACAACUUGGGAAGGACGCAGGAUAUCACGUGAAGGAUCUGGGAUUUGCCCUCAGGGAUUACUGAGUUGUAGAUAUUCCAGGGGUUGGGAGAAGGCUAGAGAGUGGGUGCCUGGCAGUCAGCCUGACAUGGAACCACGGGCUGAGGGGAGCCAGCAUCAGCACCAGAGGAGGAAGCCUGUGACACAUGCACUGGAGGACCAGAAAAAGGCUUUAGAGCAAGAUGUUGUAAGGGGGAUCCCUCCAGUAGCUGAGUUCCCGUCCCACCCUGUCCUCAUGGCUGCCAGCUGGGAGAGCAUAAUAUUGGUCACGCUUUGGUGAAGCUUCUACACUGAACUGUCUGGCUGUCUUAGGGAUUAAUUUGAUAAGUGUGCGCGAUCGCUUUUAACGAUGGCCGGAGUGAAAGGCCUGUCUUUCAACAAUGUAACGCUCAGUGUUUUAUUACAUCAGCCCCCUAAUUCACGCCUUAUGGCAACUAAUUACCUCCUGUCUCAUUGUUGGCCCUCGUUUAGCCGACCCACUUUUUUCUUUAUUUAAUUCAAUUUUCACUUUAGUCCCAGACAAGUCGUUUUUAUGAUUCAGUGUUUCUGGAUUUGUUAAAGGUACAGGUAGUUUGUUGCUUACUCAUUACAAACCUUUAAUAACCCCCCCCCCCACCACCACCCCCCAUAGUGUUUUUUUUCUGACUUGAUGCUUUGGUUUACCUCUGUUUUGAAUUAUUAAUCAGGUCUAGCUGCAGCGAUCUGAAUAAUCUCUGAUUGUGAUGGUUGUAACAUUAAUGAAUGAACUUCAUGCCUGCACAUUAGCUGCCAUAUUAGUAAUCCUCCAGGUACAAUGGGACAAUGGUUACUUAGGUUAGUAUCACUGUAGCAUGAAUGCUGUUGCAGGUAUCAUUCAUUUCCAAAGAGUCACAUGAGGCUAUUGUUUUUUUACUGUCCACCUGUUCUCCAGUUGUGACCCCCUUGAUAUUCUUUCCAGUCAUUUCAGUAGUAAAAGAUAAAGGAGAGCGUUUUGCUGAAAGAGCAGUCGGUCAGGCCUGCUUAGACCGCUGAACCAACCUAGACCACUAAAUUAAAACUUAUUGACAUUUUUUGUCCCAACCAGGUACAUAUUUUAUGACAAUUUUGCGUAUUGGUUGAAGGCUGUAAUUAUAAAAGACAUUUAACAUCUGUUUGCAUGUUCCAGCCUUGGAAUGCAUCUAGUGUACGCUCCGCCCUGCACAGCACCAUCCUGUUCAUUCUGCUGGUUCUGUUAAGGACCAGUAAAGGAUGGUGUGAUGAAGUGAAUGUGAAGUCUCAUGCUCUGCCUGCUCUUCACUUUAGGAACUGGGGUCCUGUCAAGCGCAUUAGCUGUAGCCGAUGACAUUUAACCUAAUCAGUUUAUGGGGCCCGGAAAGAACGGAAAAUUGUCCGCAGUUAUGGAGGGCCAUCGAGUGAUGCUGUCACAAGAUGUUAGGCUCUACCCACAGCCAGUCUAUCCUCAGCUCUGACUUUGACUUUACGAUUGUUUUAAUGAAGUCCUGCCAAAGUGUAAUGUUGAGGGCUCUGUGAGCUGUUAGAUGAUGUCAUUGAGUAUUUGGAGCACUAGAGGUUUACUCCUAUCUGAUUAGUCUUCUUUCAUAUUAAUAUGUAGUAAUAUGAGUUAUAUAUAUAUUUUUUUCUUCCACAAACACCA
ensembl:lncRNA